rnacentral:rRNA from 1 species
AGUGAACGCUGGCGGUAGGCCUAACACAUGCAAGUCGAACGGCAGCGCAGUAAGAGCUUGCUCUUACGGGUGGCGAGUGGCGGACGGGUGAGGAAUACAUCGGAAUCUACUUUUUCGUGGGGGAUAACGUAGGGAAACUUACGCUAAUACCGCAUACGACCUACGGGGGAAAGCAGGGGAUCUUCGGACCUUGCGCGAUUGAAUGAGCCGAUGUCGGAUUAGCUAGUUGGCGGGGUAAAGGCCCACCAAGGCGACGAUCCGUAGCUGGUCUGAGAGGAUGAUCAGCCACACUGGAACUGAGACACGGUCCAGACUCCUACGGGAGGCAGCAGUGGGGAAUAUUGGACAAUGGGCGCAAGCCUGAUCCAGCCAUACCGCGUGGGUGAAGAAGGCCUUCGGGUUGUAAAGCCCUUUUGUUGGGAAAGAAAAGCAGCAGGUUAAUACCCCGCUGUUCUGACGGUACCCAAAGAAUAAGCACCGGCUAACUUCGUG